AAAAAAAUUGAUCAUGUCAGGUGACAGGCCUAAAGAUUCUGCCGAAGGAUCCUCGCGAUCCGGCGGAGAUCAUCAGCAGCAGCUUCCUCAACCGGCUCCGUUGAGCAGGUACGAGUCACAGAAAAGGCGAGAUUGGAACACUUUUGGGCAGUACUUGAAGAACCAGAGACCUCCAGUUUCACUGUCGCAGUGUAACUGCAACCAUGU
rnacentral:misc_RNA from 1 species